AACAUAGGCUUUUGAAGGUUGGUUGUAAGCAUACUGACCUGUGAGAAAGAGCAGCGGGCAAUGAGACGGGCAGGGGUGGAUGCAGCUUUGGGUUCAGGCAAAUCUCCAUGUAUAAACAAACCGCUCUGGAAUUCGAUCCUUGAGGCCGAUGUGGUUACAUACUAGUGACAACUCUUGCUUGUUCAGCGAGCCUCCAGUUCCAACUCCGAGCUCCUUCCAAACCGCUCUCACCUGCCCAUCUGUUAUAUCCUGGCAUGGACUACUGGAGUGCUUCCGAUUUCCUGAGCUGUCUGGCUUCCAACGCUUUAACUGGCCUGAACAAACAAAUUGUUUUGAGCACUUAAGAGGAUUCUCCAGCUUUUAUACAUUUUUAGGCAGAGGACUAUAUGAGUUUUUUUCAGCUACACGUUUAUAUUGCCUCUAACAGAAAUAACUAUUAAAUAAAAAGGGCUUGAUAAUUACA